rnacentral:tRNA from 1 species
GGGAUCAUAGCUCAGCUGGGAGAGCGUUCGCUUGACGUGCGAAAGGUCAUGGGUUCGAGCCCCUUUGGUCCCA